CCUGUUUCUAGUGAGCCAAGCUAUGUUGUUCUCCUGUUUUCCCUGUCCUGUUGGUGGUCUCCUCAUAGGAGUAUGUAAUCUAUGUACUUAAGUGUCGUAGGGUGUAGUGUGCGGGGAGUGGCCCUGGUAUGGCUAUUCCUAUUGGGGCGGUGACGUGUGUUGGGAAAUAGUUCUGUGUUGUUCCAUGGGGCAGGCUGGGUCUGUCUCAUUGUUCUCUGGGUAUCUAGUUUGACGUUGCUGGGUUACCGUUUAAAGUAAUGACAUGCAACUAGGAGUCUAUGAGAUGUGGUAUUGAUAAAGGGCUUAUGGCUGACGCAUCUUAUGGGCUUCUAGGUUGUCUGGGCCAAGUCGUGGAGCAGGUCUCAGCCACCACCAAUGCGAUCCAUGUGCAUCCAACUUUCCUUUUACACCUGUCCCGCAUAGGUCACUCCUGUGUUCACUCCCUGGGCCCGUUUGAAUAGUUACUGUUAGGUACUUGUGCCCAGCAUGGGCAAGGGUUUGUAUAGAGGGGUGACCCACUAGGUGAGAGCGCGAGAUGCUUGGGGGUGGGUAGAGAGAAGGGAUGAGAGAUAUGGGGGGGGGGGGAAUUGUGUCCCACCUCGUAUGCCAAGAUGAUCAACCACGGGGUCCAGGUCUGAAUGCAUCUUUCCGAACGUCCUUCCAAUGCUGCCGUUAGUGUUUCCAUGGUAUAAAUCUCACCAACUCUGUAGACCCAUUGCUGGAAGGUAGGCUUCCCCCUCUGCUUCCAUAAUGCCGGUAUCAGUGAUUUUGCUGCGGUCAGCAGGUGUUUGGCCAAAGAUUUCUUAUAGGUUUUUAUGGGCAUGUCAGUAUGGUGUAGGAGCAUGGGG